UACAGAGGCUGCGAGCGUUAAUCGGAAUUACUGGGCGUAAAGCGCGCGUAGGCGGCUUUGCAAGUCGGGUGUGAAAUCCCCAGGCUUAACCUGGGAACUGCAUUCGAGACUGCAUUGCUAGAGUAUGGGAGAGGGAAGUGGAAUUUCCGGUGUAGCGGUGAAAUGCGUAGAUAUCGGAAGGAACAUCAGUGGCGAAAGCGACUUCCUGGACCAAUACUGACGCUCAUGUGCGAAAGCGUGGGGAGCAAACAGG
rnacentral:rRNA from 1 species